CCUACGGGUGGCAGCAGUGAGGAAUAUUGGUCAAUGGCCGGGAGGCUGAACCAGCCAAGUCGCGUGAGGGAAGACGGCCCUACGGGUUGUAAACCUCUUUUGUCAGGGAGCAAGGUGCAGGUCGGGACCUGCUGUGAGAGUACCUGAAGAAAAAGCAUCGGCUAACUCCGUGCCAGCAGCCGCGGUAAUACGGAGGAUUCAAGCGUUAUCCGGAUUUAUUGGGUUUAAAGGGUGCGUAGGCGGUCGGAUAAGUUAGAGGUGAAAUCCCGAGGCUCAACUUCGGAAUUGCCUCUGAUACUGUUCGGCUAGAGAGUAGUUGCGGUAGGCGGAAUGUAUGGUGUAGCGGUGAAAUGCUUAGAGAUCAUACAGAACACCGAUUGCGAAGGCAGCUUACCAAGCUACUUCUGACGUUGAGGCACGAAAGCGUGGGGAGCAAACAGGAUUAGAUACCCUUGUAGUC
rnacentral:rRNA from 1 species